GUUGUGUCAGUAUUAGGCCUGACUGGUCUGGUUUGUUGUGUUACCAGGUGGAGUGGAGGGUUGUGUCAGUAUUAGGCCUGACUGGUCUGGUUUGUUGUGUUACCAGGUGGAGUGGAGGGUUGUGUCAGUAUUAGGCCUGACUGGUCUGGUUUGUUGUGUUACCAGGUGGAGUGGAGGGUUGUGUCAGUAUUAGGGCCUGACUGGUCUGGUUUGUUGUGUUACCAGGUGGAGUGGAGGGUUGUGUCAGUAUUAGGGCCUGACUGGUCUGGUUUGUUGUGUUACCAGGUGGAGCGGAGGGUUGUGUCAGUAUUAGGGCCUGACUGGUCUGGUUUGUUGUGUUACCAGGUGGAGUGGAGGGUUGUGUCAGUAUUAGGCCUGACUGGUCUGGUUUGUUGUGUUACCAGGUGGAGUGGAGGGUUGUGUCAGUAUUAGGCCUGACUGGUCUGGUUUGUUGUGUUACCAGGUGGAGUGGAGGGUUGUGUCAGUAUUAGGCCUGACUGGUCUGGUUUGUUGUGUUACCAGGUGGAGUGGAGGGUUGUGUCAGUAUUAGGCCUGACUGGUCUGGUUUGUUGUGUUACCAGGUGGAGUGGAGGGUUGUGUCAGUAUUAGGCCUGACUGGUCUGGUUUGUUGUGUUACCAGGUGGAGUGGAGGGUUGUGUCAGUAUUAGGCCUGACUGGUCUGGUUUGUUGUGUUACCAGGUGGAGUGGAGGGUUGUGUCAGUAUUAGGCCCUGACUGGUCUGGUUUGUUGUGUUACCAGGUGGAGUGGAGGGUUGUGUCAGUAUUAGGCCUGACUGGUCUGGUUUGUUGUGUUACCAGGUGGAGUGGAGGGUUGUGUCAGUAUUAGGCCCUGACUGGUCUGGUUUGUUGUGUUACCAGGUGGAGUGGAGGGUUGUGUCAGUAUUAGGCCUGACUGGUCUGGUUUGUUGUGUUACCAGGUGGAGUGGAGGGUUGUGUCAGUAUUAGGCCCUGACUGGUCUGGUUUGUUGUGUUACCAGGUGGAGUGGAGGGUUGUGUCAGUAUUAGGCCUGACUGGUCUGGUUUGUUGUGUUACCAGGUGGAGUGGAGGGUUGUGUCAGUAUUAGGCCUGACUGGUCUGGUUUGUUGUGUUACCAGGUGGAGUGGAGGGUUGUGUCAGUAUUAGGCCUGACUGGUCUGGUUUGUUGUGUUACCAGGUGGAGUGGAGGGUUGUGUCAGUAUUAGGCCUGACUGGUCUGGUUUGUUGUGUUACCAGGUGGAGUGGAGGGUUGUGUCAGUAUUAGGCCCUGACUGGUCUGGUUUGUUGUGUUACCAGGUGGAGUGGAGGGUUGUGUCAGUAUUAGGCCUGACUGGUCUGGUUUGUUGUGUUACCAGGUGGAGUGGAGGGUUGUGUCAGUAUUAGGCCCUGACUGGUCUGGUUUGUUGUGUUACCAGGUGGAGUGGAGGGUUGUGUCAGUAUUAGGCCCUGACUGGUCUGGUUUGUUGUGUUACCAGGUGGAGUGGAGGGUUGUGUCAGUAUUAGGCCUGACUGGUCUGGUUUGUUGUGUUACCAGGUGGAGUGGAGGGUUGUGUCAGUAUUAGGCCCUGACUGGUCUGGUUUGUUGUGUUACCAGGUGGAGAGGAGGGUUGUGUCAGUAUUAGGCCCUGACUGGUCUGGUUUGUUGUGUUACCAGGUGGAGAGGAG